UUUUUAAAUGUUACUUUACUCUUUUUAUUCAGUCUAUUUUAUCUACUGUUUUGCUAAAUUACUGCUGCUUUAUGCAAUUUAACCUUAGUCUGUCCUUAAUCCCAUGUUGCAUUCAUUAUUUUCCUCUCUUCGGUGAGUACGGUGGUUUGUACUCAGCCUUGUUUAAUUUUUUCCCACCAGAGUAAGCGCCAGAGUUUUAGUCAAAAGGUGUUUUCGAAGGUUGAAGUGAGGUUCAGUCCGCCAUUAAGAAUGCCUGUGGUGUGGAGCUGUCAUCGUCAGCUGGAGCUUAAGAUUAGAUGGUUUAGUUUGUUUUCUUUUUGCACUGCAUUUCAAUAGAUAACUAUUUUUAUUUGUUUUUAAGCCUAGAUGGUUGAGUUUUUAACUGUGUAUUAAUUUGUCAUAGUGUGUACUCGGGCUGAUUCCUGGACCGAGAUUUAAUGCAUGCUAUUGUUCAGAAAUUUAGUGUAAAUUUCUGGACGUGACACCGAACUACUAAACGGUGUAUUUUUUUGCAAAAAAAAUCUAUAGAAAAGUUGUUUUAAAAAAUCAUAUUAAUCUAUUUUCUAUAGAAAAGUUUUGCAAGAAAUACACCGUUUAAUAGUUUGAAAAGCGUGUGCGCGGAAACGAGGGUCUAAGAUAACUUAGCCCUUCUGUCGAACUAGGGGUGGUUAUCGAGCCAUCUCGGCUCGGGCUCAGUCUAGCUCGUUAAGAUAAGCUCGUUAUCGUAACGAGAUAGAAACCUAGCUCGGCUCGACUCGUUGAAAAGCUCGAACUGGCUCGUAAGCUAAUGCUCAUAAAAUUGGUCCCAAACAAAUUUGCAGCAAGUUAUACAAUCAAACAUACAAAUAAACAUGCAAACCCAUCAGCGAUUCAGCACGCAUGCACGUAUCGCCAUGAACGACCAACCAACUAACCAAACACGCGCAUGAAUGCAUGAUCUGCACUUGGAGGAAGCAGUCGUGGUCUCAUGGAUGAACAUGCGGACGAUGCCGGCGCCGACGCCGGGGUUCUGCCGAACGGCCUUCCCGACCACGUCCCUCAGGAACCUCACGACGUACUCGGCUCUCAGCCACACCUGGCCGUCGCCACCAUGACCAGCACGCACGCCACCCAAUCGAACUGGGCCCUGGGAGAGCCGGCAGCAGAGCUGGGGGCUUGGUGCCUGGCCACCUGCGAUAGGCGGUGGCGCGCCGGCGGCGGAGGCGGCGCCGCUGGUGGCGAAGGGGGGAGAUCCGGCGGCUUGUAGCUGUGGUCGCACGUCGGGAGGCUGGGUCUGGGUGGGAGGAGAGGGACGAGCCGAGGAAGACUGGGGCGGCGGCGGCGGUGGACUGCUGGAAGUGUACAAGCGUAGUACUUUGCCUAGGGUUUUCUCUUCCUUAUUGGGCUAUGACCUCAUUGGGCUGUGGCCUGUGGGCCUGUGGUAUGUGUGGUGGCUCGUUAACGAGCUAAAAUGCUAGUUUAGCUUGUUAGAAAAAUAAAAUGAGUCGAGUCGAGCCGAGCCGUGCUUGGCACGAGUCGAGUGAGCUAACGAGCUACGAGUUUUCUGUCCACCCCUAUGCCGAACGCGGCCUAGGGAGGUCGGUGGACACCCUAUUUGUGUUUGGCACAAGGAACAUGGGGGAAGCCACAAGAUGUGGAUUCAGUAGGUUGGUGGAGAAGAAGGCGAUGCAUGGAAGAAAUCCUAUGAACUUGAUGUUUAUACAUAGUCAGGUUACACAAAAUGUUAGAUAUAUAGUUAUAUACGUUCAGAGAUAAUAAAGUCGUAUAGAAAAUUUAGAGAUAAAGGUAGAAUCAUGGAGAAAAAGAUAAAAAAAUUUGUCUUGUACUCUAAAUUCUCUCAUAUAUAGACC
rnacentral:lncRNA from 1 species